GACGAACGCUGGCGGCAUGCCUAAUACAUGCAAGUCGAGCGAACAGAUGAAGUGCUUGCACUUCUGACGUUAGCGGCGAACGGGUGAGUAACACGUAAGGAAUCUACCUAUAAGCGGGGGAUAACAUUCGGAAACGGGUGCUAAUACCGCAUAAUAUCUUCUUCCGCAUGGAAGAAGAUUGAAAGACGGCUCUGCUGUCACUUAUAGAUGACCUUGCGGUGCAUUAGUUAGUUGGUGGGGUAAUGGCCUACCAAGACGAUGAUGCAUAGCCGACCUGAGAGGGUGAUCGGCCACAUUGGGACUGAGACACGGCCCAAACUCCUACGGGAGGCAGCAGUAGGGAAUCUUCCGCAAUGGGCGAAAGCCUGACGGAGCAAUGCCGCGUGAGUGAAGAAGGCCUUCGGGUCGUAAAACUCUGUUAUAAGGGAAGAACAAAUUGUAGAGUAACUGCUACAGUCUUGACGGUAUCUUAUCAGAAAGCCACGGCUAACUACGUGCCAGCCGCCGCAGUAA
rnacentral:rRNA from 1 species